AGAGUUUGAUCCUGGCUCAGGACGAACGCUGGCGGCGUGCCUAAUACAUGCAAGUCGAGCGGACAGAAGGGAGCUUGCUCCCGGAUGUUAGCGGCGGACGGGUGAGUAACACGUGGGUAACCUGCCUGUAAGACUGGGAUAACUCCGGGAAACCGGAGCUAAUACCGGAUAGUUCCUUGAACCGCAUGGUUCAAGGAUGAAAGACGGUUUCGGCUGUCACUUACAGAUGGACCCGCGGCGCAUUAGCUAGUUGGUGAGGUAACGGCUCACCAAGGCGACGAUGCGUAGCCGACCUGAGAGGGUGAUCGGCCACACUGGGACUGAGACACGGCCCAGACUCCUACGGGAGGCAGCAGUAGGGAAUCUUCCGCAAUGGACGAAAGUCUGACGGAGCAACGCCGCGKGAGUGAUGAAGGUUUUCGGAUCGUAAAGCUCUGUUGUUAGGGAAGAACAAGUGCAAGAGUAACUGCUUGCACCUUGACGGUACCUAACCAGAAAGCCACGGCUAACUACGUGCCAGCAGCCGCGGUAAUACGUAGGUGGCAAGCGUUGUCCGGAAUUAUUGGGCGUAAAGGGCUCGCAGGCGGUUUCUUAAGUCUGAUGUGAAAGCCCCCGGCUCAACCGGGGAGGGUCAUUGGAAACUGGGAAACUUGAGUGCAGAAGAGGAGAGUGGAAUUCCACGUGUAGCGGUGAAAUGCGUAGAGAUGUGGAGGAACACCAGUGGCGAAGGCGACUCUCUGGUCUGUAACUGACGCUGAGGAGCGAAAGCGUGGGGAGCGAACAGGAUUAGAUACCCUGGUAGUCCACGCCGUAAACGAUGAGUGCUAAGUGUUAGGGGGUUUCCGCCCCUUAGUGCUGCAGCUAACGCAUUAAGCACUCCGCCUGGGGAGUACGGUCGCAAGACUGAAACUCAAAGGAAUUGACGGGGGCCCGCACAAGCGGUGGAGCAUGUGGUUUAAUUCGAAGCAACGCGAAGAACCUUACCAGGUCUUGACAUCCUCUGACAACCCUAGAGAUAGGGCUUUCCCUUCGGGGACAGAGUGACAGGUGGUGCAUGGUUGUCGUCAGCUCGUGUCGUGAGAUGUUGGGUUAAGUCCCGCAACGAGCGCAACCCUUGAYCUUAGUUGCCAGCAUUYAGUUGGGCACUCUARGGUGACUGCCGGUGAYAAACCGGAGGAAGGUGGGGAUGACGUCAAAUCMUCAUGSCCCUUAYGRSCUGGGCUACACACGUGCUACAAUGGACAGAACAAAGGGCUGCGAGACCGCAAGGUUUAGCCAAUCCCACAAAUCUGUUCUCAGUUCGGAUCGCAGUCUGCAACUCGACUGCGUGAAGCUGGAAUCGCUAGUAAUCGCGKAUCAGCAUGMCGCGGUGAAUACGUUCCCGGGCCUUGUACACACCGCCCGUCACACCACGAGAGUUUGCAACACCCGAAGUCGGUGAGGUAACCUUUAUGGAGCCAGCCGCCGAAGGUGGGGCAGAUGAUUGGGGUGAAGUCGUAACAAGGUAGCCGUAUCGGAAGGUGCGGCUG
rnacentral:rRNA from 1 species